CACAAAACUGAGAAGCACAAAAACAAAACUGAGAAUCACAAAAUUAAAUUAAGAAGCACAAAAACAAAAUUGAGAAGCACAAAACAAAACUGAGAAUCACAAAAUCAAAUUAAGAAGCACAAAAACAAAAUUGAGAAGCACAAAACAAAACUGAAAAUCACAAAAUCAAAUUAAGAAGCACAAAAACAAAACUGAGAAGCACAAAAACAAAACUGAGAAUCACAAAAACAAAACUGAGAAUCACAAAAUUAAAUUAAGAAGCACAAAAACAAAAUUGAGAAGCACAAAACAAAACUGAGAAUCACAAAAUCAAAUUAAGAAGCACAAAAACAAAAUUGAGAAGCACAAAAACAAAAGAAGAAUCACAAAAACAAAUUGAGAAGCACAAUUACAUUAAGAAAACCGGAAAGGGUAGGUACCAGUCGGCAACAGGAGACAUCACUGAUUGGAUGUCCGCGCUGUUCGUCUUUGGAACCGGAAGUUACUCUGUGGCGCAUUUCGUUUGAAGAAGAACGGCGGAAUGUUUUGUCCUAGCUGUGGGAAAAAGCUGGUUGAGGAGUCACCGAACUUUUGCAGCGGCUGUGGCGAGAGGCUUCAUCACGCAUCUUGCAUCGGAGACACUUCACUCCCAUCGAAUAAAUGUCGGCUUGAUGACCAUUAAAAAGGGUGGUUUGAAGGCAUACCGUGGAAAAACUAUUUUCCUAACAACAGACCCUGACGCUACUGCCACAAGUCUGCUCAAUCAAGCUGUUAAAAAAAAUGAAGGACUUUAACAAAGAUCUAAAAGAUGGACCUUUCCUUCUUCUGUAUCCGGAUGGCACUGAGGUCAUUACUGUCCCUGGAACACAAAGACCAUUUACACUUGAGGCUUAUAAGGCUGAAGUUGGCAAGCCUUAUCAAAGAAUCACUGUUUUCAUCUGCUUGAAGAGUGACUUUGAGGAUGAUGCCACCUGUCCCUCCCACUACCACCACCUGGCAUGGAGGGUGAAGUGUCUUGCCCAAGGACACAACGACUGUGACAGACUGAGCAGGGCUCAAACCUUCAACCUUUUGAUUACAGGGCGGGCUUUUAACUCCUCUGCCACCAUUGCUCCCUAAAUUAGCUUGUAUAUGUUAUGUUUCUUCCUGGAAACAUGAAAUUCAGCCAUUUUUGGAUCUACUGAGUCAUGAGUUUUCAAUGCUAACUUUAUGCCUUUCGUCUUAAUCUAUUAUUGAUGAUCAAAUAAAGUUUCAUACAUUAGUAUGAAUUUAGUUAGCUUAGCUUGAUUUGUUUUCAUGUAUUGUAGUUGGAGAAAACUCAGACUUGUCUGACUCUGACCCAGAGAUUGUUAUUAAAAGGCCCUCUGAGUUUGAUCUUGCUGAUACACUGGUAAGUACAAUUUAAAAAAUUUUAUAGAGUUUUCUUGUUGUUUAGCCACCACCAUUUGCCUCAGUUCAGUAAAACAGUUAAUAGUUAUAUGUGAAAUACAUUUUGUGUGUGUGUGCGUGCUUGCGUGCGCGUGUUUGUUUGUUUGCUUGUUUAUUUGUUUCAGCCAUGGGAAUUCCAACAUGAAAGCAGUCCUUUACAGAAAGCGGCAGAAUAUGAGAAGGGUGCUGGGGAUCUUGUGCUUGCUAAUGAAGUACAACAGGUCAUAGAUUUGGAAGAAGAAAACGAUACAGGCACUACUGAAUGCCUCACUGUGGAGAGCUCCUGUUACAGAAACUACACACAGCUGUUUGAUCCGAUUGUGAUUGAUGAUGAAGAUCCUACUCCUAACGAAGCCAAAGCUGAGCCCCCAGAAGAACCUGUAGACCCCAAUUUGCAGGCACAUGAAAUUAUUGCAAAUUUGACACUGGAACUUGACCACAAGAAGGUCAGCAGGUUCAAUAUAUCAAGGUCAGCUGUAUGGGAUGGAGCUGUUAGAUGAAAUCCAUCAUCAUCAAGUUUAAUGAUGAUGCUGGCAGCUUUGAAGAAGGUUUGGAUACAGGUGGCCCGAGGCGUGAAUUCCUCACACUUCUUAUGGGCAGUCUGAGAAAUCGCCCAUCUUUGAUGGACCUCCAGAAACCGUUAUCUUGUAUAUAAUUCAAGAGGUGGAUGUUUUCUCCGUAAUUAUUACAAUGAAAAUUUUAAUAAAAAUUGGCUUAUUUUUUUCAUUAGCAUAUUUAAUAGCAAUUAAC
ensembl:lncRNA